GAGUUCAUGCCCUCACGGGUAGACCUCCCACCCUUGAAUAUAUACCUUUGUUGCUUUGGCGGGCCGCUUCGGCUACUGGCUUCGGCUGGUGAGUGCCCGCCAGAGGACCCAAAACUCUGAAUUAUAGUGUCGUCUGAGUACUAUAUAAUAGUUAAAACUUUCGACAACGGAUCUCUUGGUUCU
rnacentral:misc_RNA from 1 species